UUGUUCCUCCUUUAUCACCUUCUUUUGGAUUACUUGAAUUUUUUUUGAAUUCCAUUAUAAUAUAUCUAUUGACCUUUUAGCUAUACCUCUAAAUAUACACAGUAAAUAUUUUACAGUGUGCUUAGAGUUAACAUUUAAUAUAAAAUGUAGAAAGCUUGUACCUGCAUAGGCCUGUUUAUUGCAACUCUCCAUCCUUUAUACUGUAGUCAUCAUUAUUACACCUACAAAAUUAAACCCUAUAACACAAUGGUAUAAUUUUUAAAAACAGUAAUUUAUUUUAAUAAAUAAGAAUAGAUAUAAUCUUUUAUAUUUGUGAUUUCAGAUUCUCUUCAUUUUUUCCCUCAAUUUCUGAGCUUCCAUAUGAUACCAUUUCCCAUCCCCCUGAGAACUUCCUUGAGCAUUUCUUGCAAUGUAGGUCGUUUGACAAUGAAUUAUCUUCUCUUAUCUGAAUAUGUUCACAAUUUUAGAUUAUUAUUAGACAUGGCUAGAUUCCCUGGGUCAUAGCAUUAACAAUCUAGUUGAUUAUAUUCAGGGAACGCUAUUUUAGGAUUUACUGAAGUAACUUAUUCUCAGGAUCUUUCCCUAAGAAUUGCUUAGUUAAACAUUGAUAUCACUCUUGGUUAUUUUACCAAGCUUUUAAAGUAAUAAGUCAAUGUUAUGUUACACAAUAAAGUACAUAUAGUAGAAAGGAAAAUCAAAAUACAUAUUGAUUUAGUGUUUUCAAAUGUAAGUCCAAACAGUAAAAUAAAACCAAACUCAAAGAAAUCUUAAAGUUCUGAUAGAUGCAGUUAAUAAAGCAAAAGCUUGAAAUGCAGAUAUACUGAAAUUAAGACACAGGAUCAUUUAUAUCUGUGUUAAACAUACUAGAACAAAAUUUAAGUGUUGUUUUAGAGAGGAAACAUAUGUCUUUUAUGUGGGUGGAGUUGCCUUAAUCUGAUUGUUUUUGUCAUCAAAGGGAUUUGAGGACAUCCAACAAAUUGUCAAAUUGCUUAUGAACUCUAAAGAAAUUAAAAUUUAUUUAUAGCCUGUUCAUUACUUGCUUCCUUCCAGGCAUAAAAUAGCAUUUCAUAGCUUUAGGGGUAGAAUAUAGAUCUUUCCAUGGUAAACAUAAGACUAUAUGAUCUGGCUAAUAAUUAUGUAAGAUCUUUCUUUUAUAACCUAAUAUUAUGUAAGCAUAGUUAGGGAUGGGUAGCAUGUGUACAGCAUUGUAAAAACACAAAACGUAAUAUAAAACCUAAACAUAACAGCCACUAACAUAUUAUUUUUUCUUGCAUCAUUUUUUUUCUUCCCAGUUUUGCCAUGAACCGAUGAUUACCAAGAGUGAACACUAAUAAAGUAACCCUUACCUUUUAAUGAAGAAAGGAAUCAUAAUGGCUUCAGAAGAAAAGCUGUCUUUGGAGAGAGAGGAGAAUGAGAUGGGAAAAGUCCUCAACUGUAUGUUACUUCUCAGUUUUAUGAAAAUAAUCUGAAGUAAAAAUCUGAAUAUGGCAAAA